AUACAUAUAUCAACAUAAUUUCCAAUUAAAUCAAUAAAAUGCAUGCACUCUACUUGAAGUCUUUUAUCUUGUUCUCUCAAUUUUUCGCUUAUUCGGCCGCUUACGCCAAUAAUCGCUCCGAUGGCUCCUCGUAAUUUUCUUCAAAAUGUAGAGAUAAAACCUAAUAUUUAAGCUCGUAAUUAAACCCCCCCCCCAAUUAUUUCUCUUCGAAUUAACUAUUUCCGACUUAAGAUAAAGUUAUUCCCUAUUUGAAUUAUUGUGGAAAUUAAUUAAAUAUUUCUCACCAUUAAAGUUAUUCAUUGGCCUAAGUAUUUAAAUUAAUUCCCAGCCCACUAUUAGUCUUCAAUUUAAUUGGUGAGCCCAAUUAGUAGCCCAGAUCUUUAAAAAAAAAAAGGAAGGCCCUUAAAUAAAACUAAGAGGCCCAAUUUCACCUCUUACCAUCUCCACGCCACCUCUUAUUCUUUCUCCCUAUUCUCUUUCUCUCUCCCGUCGAAAUAAUCAGAGCUCUCCACCUUCGAAAUUUUCUGUCGUUCUUCUCCGAUCUGGCGUCGCCUUCCACCUCCGCCGUCGGCCGCUGCUCUUCGCACGUCGUUGUACCGUCGGGAAGAGCAGCUUCCGACCGCGCCGCUGAACCGACGCCAUCGCUGCUGUGCGGUUCAACCUUCGCCGCGAGGGGUGCCGCCAUUGGUCGGCCCCAGUGGCGAUUCGCCCACCGUCGUCGCCGUCGGAGUGGAGGGCUCUGCCGCCGCUGCCGUCAUCCAAUUCAUCCACCGUUCAUCACCGAACCAACCCCGAACAAAUACCGCGCAGCCCCGACUAACUCCGAAAGAUAAGUUCUCAUUCAAAAAUGCGAAAAUUCUUGUUUCAAAUCUGUGUAUGAAAUUACCUCCGUGAAUUGAGAAAUCAAAACAGCAAGGAUCUGAAAAGAUUGGUUCUUGAAGCUGGAGAAUUUUGAUUACUGCCAAUAGCAACAAUUUGAUGUUAGAUUCUGGAGCAGGAGAAAGUUUAGAUACAAAUCGAUAGGACUUAGUUUACCUUGAGUAGAAGUUUUGAAGAAUUCCUCUGUUUGCUGCAGGGAUGAGAGGAAAGAAAAUAAGGUAGCAAUAUUAUAGAGGAGUAGGAAUUUAGAGGAUGAAGAUUUGGUUGAGAAGUUGGAGAGAUUUGUGGGAUAGAUGGGAGCGGUUUCAACGUGGGAUUAGGGAGUAGAUUUUCGAAUUCUACAUCUUUUUUUUUGUUGAACUUGAUUUAGUCAGAAUUAAAUUUAUUUUUGGUA